rnacentral:rRNA from 1 species
GGUGAACGCUGGCGGCGUGCUCAAGACAUGCAAGUCGAACGGCAGUCUUCGGACUGUAGUGGCGCACGGGUGAGUAACGCGUAACUGACCUACCCCAAAGUCGCGGAUAACGAUUCGAAAGAAUCGCUAAUACGUGAUGUGCUGUCAGAUUGUGUUCUGCCAGUAAAGAUUGAUUGCUUUGGGAUGGGGUUGCGUUCCAUCAGCUAGUUGGUGGGGUAAAGGCCCACCAAGGCGACGACGGAUAGCCGGCCUGAGAGGGUGGCCGGCCACAGGGGCACUGAGACACGGGUCCCACCCCUACGGGAGGCAGCAGUUAGGAAUCUUCCACAAUGGGCGAAAGCCUGAUGGAGCGACGCCGCGUGAGGGAUGAAGGUCUUCGGAUCGUAAACCUCUGAAUCAGGGACGAAAGACACUUCGGUGGGAUGACGGUACCUGAGUAAUAGCACCGGCUAACUCCGUGCCAGCCGCCGCGGUAACAC